rnacentral:tmRNA from 1 species
GGGGACGUUUUGGAUUUGACAGGACGUUCGGUUGAGAUAGGCUGCGGGUGCGGGCGCUGUUCCCGCUUAUCAACGAGCAAACUAAAUUAAAUGCUAACGAUAAUGUAAUCAAAGCAGACUUCUCUAGAGCUUAUGCUUUAGCUGCGUAGUCGCUUUUAGCUACUCAUAACGCCCAGCUUGCCGGUAUUAUGGGUCCAUUAUGCAAGCGGCAGUGCAUUAAUGACGGUAGAUGCAUCAAGAUAACCGUUAACGGUUAGUGUUUCCAUUAAAAAACACUUUGGAUUAUGAUUCAAGGUUUUGAUAUUCCCUUAGUAGUCCGAGAUAAUUAAUAUCUACACUCGUAGAAGUUUAUCAAGAUCCGUUUUGGACAGGGGUUCGACUCCCCUCGUCUCCA